AGUGAACGCUGGCGGUAGGCCUAACACAUGCAAGUCGAACGGCAGCACAGUAAGAGCUUGCUCUUACGGGUGGCGAGUGGCGGACGGGUGAGGAAUACAUCGGAAUCUACUUUUUCGUGGGGGAUUACGUAGGGAAACUUACGCUAAUACCGCAUACGACCUACGGGUGAAAGCAGGGGAUCUUCGGACCUUGCGCGAUUGAAUGAGCCGAUGUCGGAUUAGCUAGUUGGCGGGGUAAAGGCCCACCAAGGCGACGAUCCGUAGCUGGUCUGAGAGGAUGAUCAGCCACACUGGAACUGAGACACGGUCCAGACUCCUACGGGAGGCAGCAGUGGGGAAUAUUGGACAAUGGGCGCAAGCCUGAUCCAGCCAUACCGCGUGGGUGAAGAAGGCCUUCGGGUUGUAAAGCCCUUUUGUUGGGAAAGAAAAGCAGCAGGUUAAUACCCCGCUGUUCUGACGGUACCCAAAGAAUAAGCACCGGCUAACUUCGUG
rnacentral:rRNA from 1 species